GUUUUCCUACGGGGGGCAGCAGUAGGUCCUCUUCCACAAUUUACGAAAGUCUGAUGGAGCAACGCCGCGUGAGUGAAGAAGGGUUUCGGCUCGUACGGCUCUGUUGGUAGUGAAGAAAGAUAGAGGUAGUAACUGGCCUUUAUUUGACGGUAAUUACUUAGAAAGUCACGGCUUACUACGUGCCAGCAGCCGCGGUAAUACGUAGGUGGCAAGCGUUGUCCGGAUUUAUUGGGCGUAAAGCGUGUGCAG
rnacentral:rRNA from 1 species